rnacentral:rRNA from 1 species
GACGAACGCUGGCGGCGCGCCUAACACAUGCAAGUCGAACGGAGCUGAGAGGAGCUUGCUUUUCUUAGCUUAGUGGCGAACGGGUGAGUAACGCGUGAGUAACCUGCCCUGGAGUGGGGGACAACAGUUGGAAACGACUGCUAAUACCGCAUAAGCCCACGAUCUGGCAUCGGAUUGAGGGAAAAGGAUUUAUUCGCUUCAGGAUGGACUCGCGUCCAAUUAGCUAGUUGGUGAGGUAACGGCCCACCAAGGCGACGAUUGGUAGCCGGACUGAGAGGUUGAACGGCCACAUUGGGACUGAGACACGGCCCAGACUCCUACGGGAGGCAGCAGUGGGGGAUAUUGCACAAUGGGGGAAACCCUGAUGCAGCGACGCCGCGUGGAGGAAGAAGGUUUUCGGAUUGUAAACUCCUGUCGUUAGGGACGAUAAUGACGGUAC